rnacentral:snRNA from 1 species
GUGCUUGCUUUGGCAGCACAUAUACUAAAAUUGGAAUGAUACAGAGAUGAUUAACAUGGCCCCUGUGCAAGGAUGACACACAAAUUUGUGAAUCAAAGAAUUUAAAA